UUAAGAAUUUAUUGACAUAUUAACAGUUUGUGAACAGGCUUUAUCAACACAUUCUGGCACAACUGGCCCUUUAAGAGCUUUCAUAAUCUUGAUUUGGCCCAAAACAAAAAUAAGUUUGACACACCUGUACUAAGUAAUACACACUUUUCAGUUUAUUUGCAAAAAAAUCUGUCAUAUUUUUAAGCCUCCCUGGUAGAGUCUAUUCUGGAGUCCUGGAAAGGAGGGUCAUCAAGAUACUGGAGAAUGCAUGGGAGUUCGUCCAAACAAUCUACAUGUGUUUAUGGACUUUGAGAAGGCAUUUCACAGGGUCCCUCUGGGAACUUUGUGGGAGUUCUCAUGGAGUAUGGUGUCCAAGUCCUUUGAUACGGGCUGUAAGGUUUCUGUGCAACCUUACAGAAACGUGGUCUGCAUUAUUGGCAGUAAGUCAAGCUCAUUUCUGCUUAGAGUUGGAUUUUGCCGAGGAAACGAGCUUGACUCUGCUGGCAAUGCACACCAGUCUCUGACACUGGUGUCAUAUGGGGACCUAACAGCCUGUAUCAAAGGACCCGGGACCCCAUACUCCCAGAGAACCCACCCCUUGCUCCCCGAAGGAAACAGUCGAACUUCUUCUCCAAGUCCACAAAACAUCUGUAGACCCAACACCUGCAUGGGAGUUAGGUGAACUCCCAUGCACCCUCCAGGACCCUGCUCAGGCUAUAGAGCUGGUCCAAUGUUAGAUGACCAGGGCAAAAACCACACUGCUCUUCUCGAAUCCGACUUUCGGCUAUCUGAUGGACCGUCCUCUCCAUGAACCCCAAAUAGACCUUGCGAGGGAGACAUCACACCCCCCGGUCCUCCUUUUUGAACAAAGGCUGGGAACACUGAAUCAAACAGUCUCACUUAAUCAUAAGGGUUCUACGUCAUGGGUCUUUCAUAUUACAUUUGGAUGAAAUAUAUUUGUGGUUGCAAUGUAACAAUAUGGAACAGUUCAAGGGGUAUGAUUACUUUGUAAGCACUGUAAAUCUUAACCCUGAAAUCAUGACAUGAAAUUCUUUUUGGAGAAAAUGUUGGAAUCUCUAGUCGUUUUUAAUGUCAUUUCAUUUGACUGUUUGCUUUUAUAAUUAUGAUAGCGUGGAUCGUUUUCUUGAUCAUUGUUGCAGUGGAUUUCAUAUGUAUUUAUUCAUUGUACACAUUUCUGAAUUAUGGUGUAUGCUUGUGGAUUUUGUUGUCGGCAUAAGAGAUUCUUGUACACUUAGUGAAUCUUUUCAAAACUUAUUUACUUCUGUAGAAGAGGCUUCAUAAACAGGUUUUGUACUUGCACAUGAAACUGUUUGAGCUUUGUGAAUACGAAAGUGGCUGAUCUUGAAACACUUAUCGGUUCACUGUCAGAGUAGUUGCUGGAAAUGUUGCACCAGGGAGCAGUAGAUAAGACAAUCAGUUACUAUAUGUAUAUUCUGUUCUAUUUGAAAUUAAAAUGAUUUGAAAUGGGGACCAUAAAGUUUUCGUAAUUUUUCUAAUACAGUUAACAUCAAUUUUUCCCUUCAAAUAUGCCUAAAUUUUUUGCGGAACUACGUUUUUAUUCUUCACCGUUUGCGUCACUUAAUUAAAGCUCUCCUUGUUUCAAUCUCUCCUCAGUCACACUGAACUUUUUAAUGCUGCAGCCCCCCAGUGGCUACAUUAUCUUCACUUCACAAGCAGGACAAAAGUUUGGCUCACUUUUGUCCUGUUGGACUCCCUCCAUCUGGUCAGAAUUUGUUUGGUUUUGGUGGAAUUAACCCUUUGUUCUCCCAGUUUUAGUCUGUUCUUGCAGGGUUUUCCACGUAAAACGAUCCUUGGAGGCUGCCAAGAAGACAGAGAGGAAACAAGACCUUGAGUCCAGGAAAUCCUCACCUACUUCAUGGACUUGGGCCUCAUACAAUCUGAGGAGAUGGAGUUCUUGUUUCUUUGAAUGUUCCAGGUGGGACAAUCUGACCAGGUAAGUACAUAACAAAUGAAGGCUAAUUUAUUUGCCAAUUUGGUUUAUUUUAAGUUGAGAUUGAUAACGUUGUAUAUCUAGGUUUGAUAGGAGGAAUCCAGUGGAUGUAUGACCUUUUUUCUUGGGUCAUAUUGAGUCUGUGAUGUCACAUAGACUGGAUCCCAAAUGAAAGCUUUGGAGCAGCGGUUGUUUUUUCUUCUUUUUUUU